rnacentral:rRNA from 1 species
UGGGGAAUUUUGGACAAUGGGCGAAAGCCUGAUCCAGCAAUGCCGCGUGCAGGAUGAAGGCCUUCGGGUUGUAAACCGCUUUUGUCAGGGAAGAAACGAGUUUCUCUAAUACAGAGACUUAAUGACGGUACCUGAAGAAUAAGCACCGGCUAACUACGUGCCAGCAGCCGCGGUAAUACGUAGGGUGCAAGCGUUAAUCGGAAUUACUGGGCGUAAAGCGUGCGCAGGCGGUUAUGUAAGACAGAUGUGAAAUCCCCGGGCUCAACCUGGGACCUGCAUUUGUGACUGCAUAGCUAGAGUACGGCAGAGGGGGAUGGAAUUCCGCGUGUAGCAGAGAAAUGCGUAGAUAUGCGGAGGAACACCGAUGGCGAAGGCAAUCCCCUGGGCCUGUACUGACGCUCAUGCACGAAAGCGUGGGGAGCAAACA